rnacentral:rRNA from 1 species
AGUGAACGCUGGCGGCAGGCCUAACACAUGCAAGUCGAGCGGCAGCGCGGGGGCAACCCUGGCGGCGAGCGGCGGACGGGUGAGGAAUUCGUCGGAAUCUGCCUUUUUGUGGGGGAUAACGUAGGGAAACUUACGCUAAUACCGCAUACGUCCUACGGGAGAAAGUGGGGGACCGCAAGGCCUCACGCAGAAAGAUGAGCCGACGACCGAUUAGCUAGUUGGUGGGGUAAAGGCCCACCAAGGCGACGAUCGGUAGAUGGUCUGAGAGGAUGAUCAGCCACACUGGGACUGAGACACGGCCCAGACUCCUACGGGAGGCAGCAGUGGGGAAUAUUGGACAAUGGGCGCAAGCCUGCUCCAGCCAUGCCGCGUGUGUGAAGAAGGCCUUCGGGUUGUAAAGCACUUUUGUCCGGAAAGAAAUCCCUGGAGCUAAUACCUUCGGGGGAUGACGGUACCGGAAGAAUAAGCACCGGCUAACUUCGUG